GAGGAGGAGCAGAGAGACCCAAAAUCAGGAGUCGUCUUCUGCUGGAAACAGUAUAAGAAGGAGGGGGUACAGUCUCUUCAGCACCGUCAGAUUGAAUUGCACGGACAGCAGGAUUACUGUGCCUCAGAGCCACGUUCACACCAGCCUCUGCAACAUGCGUUCAAGCAACCACUGGAAAUGAAAAGUCCUUUAAAUUAUUACAGAAGUCAGGUAUGAAGUUGAGACUGGAAGUUAUAUUGAUGAAGAAGAGGUGACAGAGCUGGAGGGACCUGCUACUAAAGAGGAAUGGGGACGAAAUGAAGAACAAAAAUGAGGACCUUCGGUUGUGGAUGGCGCCAUCAACGAAGAGAGUUGACCAUCUACUGCAGGAGCUGCAUCUGAAUGACGGCGCUUUCAGCUAUACUUCCACUGAUAAGAGGACCGUCAUCAUCAAACUGUGACCCAGUUUAGUGACUUGCUGUUGUCUUGGUGCCUCUGGCAGUCUACCCUCCCCCUCCUCUCUCUGCUCUGCUCUCUGAUUGGAACCAGCUGUGGACACUCACCUCAUCUGCUACCAGCCUUCUUAAUGGAGAUUCGGUCCCAGCAUUCCUCGCAGUUCGUUGCCGCUAAUGGUUCUUCACCACGAGUGUCCACCUCGUCUCCUCCUCUCCACGAGCUGCUCGAUCCGUCUUGCUCCAGCCACGCUACUCAAGCCAUGCCACUUUCCUGCCUCGCUCGCUCCUGCCAUGCCACGACUUCAGCCAAGUAUCACGUCAGCCAAGAAAUCCCCCCGCCACGCUUCUUGUCCAGCUCCGACGUCAUUGAAGCAUCGGGAAGUCAGCAGUCUUGCCGAUGCUUCAAUGACGUUGGCAGUCUUGCCGACGUCAUUGAAGCAUCGGCAAGACUGCUGACUUCCUUAAUUCAUUCUACGAACAUCCCCUUUACGUCCUGGAAAAAUAAAUCUGUUUACCAACUACUUCACCUGAGUUUUCUUCCGUGUUCCAGCAUCUAGGUCUGCCACGUCAUACACAUCAUGACAGCUGUCCCGCAUUAAUCUGAGGAGAGGAAAAUAAAAACAAGAAUAAUAUGUCUCAAUGCUAUUAAAAAAAAAUCAUAAAGUUCAUGAGGAGAACGAUUAGAUUUUCCUCCAUGUUUAUUUUGUACGGCGCUUCUUCUUCUGCAUUGCUCUCUGUAGUAAAUGUUAUUAGGAAACAACCACGAAAGGAAAACCACUUGUAAGAGGGGAAAAUAAUGAAUUUAUGAGCCUAUUUAUGUUUUUUUAAAAUCACAUAGAGCAUAAGUCGCACCACUGGCCAAAUUGUGCAAACACUGUGACUUAUACUCGAAAAAAUACUAUAUUUAGAUGCUGACAUGAAGCCAUACUCCAAUGAUUCUCCCUCCCCCUGUAAUUCUUUCCUGUUUCCUUCUGUUUUCCAGUUUGUAUUUUUCUUGCAUUUCUCAAUCAUUUUUCUUUCCGGUUUUUAUUUUUUUGACAAGUGGUCUGUGGCUCGCUAUACGUCUCCCGGGGGUCUGUUUCACUGAUGCAUCCCAUGGUUACAACACCACUCAUUGAUUUAAGAACUGCCACAAGCAUUGAUCUGAAACAGCCAUGCUCGUAGGAGCAGAAAAAGUCAUUUCUGCAUGCUGGACUGUUAAUGGCAUGAUGAAAUGCACCCUGCUGUCUCAGCAUGCCCCCCACCCUCCAUGAAUCAUUUACAGCAGUUCCCUAAUGUUUACAGACUAAAUGGUUGUGCAAAUGAGCGGCGAAGUGAUGCCUCUUUUUUUCUACAGUGUUUCAGUCUGUCCAAAUAAGUUAACCAUCAGUUAAUGUUAAAUAAAUUACUUCCCAACAAUGAAUAAUAACGUGCUUUUACUAUGUCAUAAGAUGUUUUUUCAUGUCUUUGCCCAAAUGGAGUUGUUGGGAAGGAAAUGUGAAGUAAUCUGAGGCUGAUUUGUCAGGGAUAAACUGCUGUUGCAACAACGUAAUUAGGAAAGAUGUUUUCCUACUGAAAGCAGUUCUUGGUCUUUUUGCAUAAUCUUCAUUUCUUAAAAUAAACGCCUUUUUGCUGUAAACUGAGUACAACUGAAAGGCGAACUGACUCAUCAAAAACGGCUCCAAUGUUGUUUGAAAAAAGACUGUUACAUUUGCGGUGGCACAAAAGUAAACUCAGAUUUUCCUUAAACCUGCAAACCCUCCUCCCUCUAUUGAGCAGGCAGUUAGAGGGUGUAUUUCAGUAAUACUGGAGUAAAGCUUUAAUCUGUAGAACAUUAGAAGAGCUCUGUAAGACUGAACAAGACUUUUCUCCACCCACACACAGUCCAAUGCCCUAAUGAUGGUUUCCCUAGAAACCACACGAAGAGAAACCUGUUAGGUAGAAGCACAUGGAGCUGUGGCACAGGCCGACCAAACCUGUAUACCCAGUAUACACAUAAUCCUCCACAGCAUUGUAAUCUUCAAAGCUGCAAAGAGAGUCCAUCAAGUUGGCAAUGCAGAAGUCCCGCUAAAGGCAGAAAGAAUGACAGGAGUGAGGUAUGUGGAGUCUAGAGGAAGUUGUGUGUGCGUGUGUGUGUAUUUUGCACUUGUUGGGUUUGGAUGAUAAAUUAUUCAUGACAGCUGCCUCAGCCUUCCCGUUUCAGAUGGAUUCAUUAUGGAGGUUGGCAAGGUAAUAUAAGGACUGUCAAAGAAAACACUAUCAAAGCAGUGGUUGCCACAAAAAAAAAAAAAAAAACAGCACAGUGAGUGUGUGCGUACCAUGUGUGUGUGUAUG